rnacentral:rRNA from 5 species
AACGCGAAGAACCUUACCUGGUCUUGACAUCCACGGAAGUUUUCAGAGAUGAGAAUGUGCCUUCGGGAACCGUGAGACAGGUGCUGCAUGGCUGUCGUCAGCUCGUGUUGUGAAAUGUUGGGUUAAGUCCCGCAACGAGCGCAACCCUUAUCCUUUGUUGCCAGCGGUCCGGCCGGGAACUCAAAGGAGACUGCCAGUGAUAAACUGGAGGAAGGUGGGGAUGACGUCAAGUCAUCAUGGCCCUUACGACCAGGGCUACACACGUGCUACAAUGGCGCAUACAAAGAGAAGCGACCUCGCGAGAGCAAGCGGACCUCAUAAAGUGCGUCGUAGUCCGGAUUGGAGUCUGCAACUCGACUCCAUGAAGUCGGAAUCGCUAGUAAUCGUGGAUCAGAAUGCCACGGUGAAUACGUUCCCGGGUCUUGUACACACCG